rnacentral:rRNA from 1 species
CGUAGGGUGCAAGCGUUAAUCGGAAUUACUGGGCGUAAAGCGUGCGCAGGCGGUUAUAUAAGACAGAUGUGAAAUCCCCGGGCUCAACCUGGGAACUGCAUUUGUGACUGUAUAGCUAGAGUACGGUAGAGGGGGAUGGAAUUCCGCGUGUAGCAGUGAAAUGCGUAGAUAUGCGGAGGAACACCGAUGGCGAAGGCAAUCCCCUGGACCUGUACUGACGCUCAUGCACGAAAGCGUGGGGAGCAAACAGGAUUAGAUACCCUGGCAGUCCACGCCCUAAACGAUGUCAACUGGUUGUUGGGUCUUCACUGACUCAGUAACGAAGCUAACGCGUGAAGUUGACCGCCUGGGGAGUACGGCCGCAAGGUUG